rnacentral:rRNA from 1 species
UUACGCCUUCCAUGAAGCCGGAAUUGCUAGUAAUGGCAGGUCAGCAUACUGCCGUGAAUACGUUCCCGGGCCUUGUACACACCGCCCGUCACACCAUGAGAGUUGGGGAUACCCGAAGCCUGUGAGCUAACUAUUUAUAGGAGCAGCAGUCGAAGGUAGAAUCAAUGAUUGGGGUGAAGUCGUAACAAGGUACC